rnacentral:rRNA from 1 species
AUUGAACGCUGGCGGCAGGCCUAACACAUGCAAGUCGAGCGGAUGAAGGGAGCUUGCUCCUGGAUUCAGCGGCGGACGGGUGAGUAAUGCCUAGGAAUCUGCCUGGUAGUGGGGGAUAACGUCCGGAAACGGGCGCUAACACCGUAUACGUCCUGAGGGAGAAAGUGGGGGAUCUUCGGACCUCACGCUAUCAGAUGAGCCUAGGUCGGAUUAGCUAGUUGGUGGGGUAAAGGCCUACCAAGGCGACGAUCCGUAACUGGUCUGAGAGGAUGAUCAGUCACACUGGAACUGAGACACGGUCCAGACUCCUACGGGAGGCAGCAGUGGGGAAUAUUGGACAAUGGGCGAAAGCCUGAUCCAGCCAUGCCGCGUGUGUGAAGAAGGUCUUCGGAUUGUAAAGCACUUUAAGUUGGGAGGAAGGGCAGUAAGUUAAUACCUUGCUGUUUUGACGUUACCAACAGAAUAAGCACCGGCUAACUUCGUG